rnacentral:rRNA from 1 species
AUAAGCGGAGGAAAAGAAACUAACAAGGAUUCCCCUAGUAACUGCGAGUGAAGCGGGAAAAGCUCAAAUUUAAAAUCUGGCAGUCUCUGGCUGUCCGAGUUGUAAUCUAGAGAAGUAAUGCCCGUGCUGGACCGUGUAUAAGUCUCCUGGGAUGGGGCGUCAUAGAGGGUGAGAAUCCCGUCUUUGACACGGACUACCAGUGCAUUGUGGUAUGCUCUCAAAGAGUCGAGUUGUUUGGGAAUGCAGCUCAAAAUGGGUGGUAAAUUCCAUCUAAAGCUAAAUAUUGGCGAGAGACCGAUAGCGAACAAGUACCGUGAGGGAAAGAUGAAAAGAACUUUGGAAAGAGAGUUAAACAGUACGUGAAAUUGCUGAAAGGGAAACGCUUGAAGUCAGUCGCGUUGGCCGGGAAUCAGCCUUGCUUUUGCAUGGUGUACUUUCUGGUUGACGGGUCAGCAUCAAUUUUGACUGCUGGAAAAAGGCCUGGGGAAUGUGGCAGCUUCGGCUGUGUUAUAGCCCCUAGUCACAUACAGUAGUUGGGAUUGAGGAACUCAGCACGCCGCAAGGCCGGGUUUCGACCACGUUCGUGCUUAGGAUGCUGGCAUAAUGGCUUUAAGCGACCCGUCUUGAAACACGGACCAAGGAGUCUAACAUGCCUGCGAGUAUUUGGGUGGAAAACUCAAGUGCGUAAUGAAAGUGAAAGUUGAGAUCCCUGUCGUGGGGAGCAUCGACGCCCGGACCAGAACUUUUGGGACGGAUCCGCGGUGGAGCAUGUAUGUUGGGACCCGAAAGAUGGUGAACUAUGCCUGAAUAGGGUGAAGCCAGAGGAAACUCUGGUGGAGG